rnacentral:rRNA from 1 species
AUUGAACGCUGGCGGCAGGCUUAACACAUGCAAGUCGAGCGGGGUGAUGGUGCUUGCACUAUCACUUAGCGGCGGACGGGUGAGUAAUGCUUAGGAAUCUGCCUAUUAGUGGGGGACAACAUCUCGAAAGGGAUGCUAAUACCGCAUACGUCCUACGGGAGAAAGCAGGGGAUCGCUUGUGACCUUGCGCGAAUAGAUGAGCCUAAGUCGGAUUAGCUAGUUGGUGGGGUAAAGGCAUACCAAGGCGACGAUCUGUAGCGGGUCUGAGAGGAUGAUCCGCCACACUGGGACUGAGACACGGCCCAGACUCCUACGGGAGGCAGCAGUGGGGAAUAUUGGACAAUGGGGGGAACCCUGAUCCAGCCAUGCCGCGUGUGUGAAGAAGGCCUUAUGGUUGUGAAGCACUUUAAGCGAGGAGGAGGCUCUUUUGGUUAAUACCCAAGAUGAGUGGACGUUACUCGCAGAAUAAGCACCGGCUAACUCUGUGCCAGCCGCCGCAGUAA